rnacentral:rRNA from 1 species
GACGAACGCUGGCGGCGUGCUUAACACAUGCAAGUCGAACGGUGAAGCGCCUUCCUUUUUGGUGGGUGUGGAUGAGUGGCGAACGGGUGAGUAACACGUGAGUAACCUGCCCCCUUCUUCUGGAUAACCGCAUGAAAGUGUGGCUAAUACGGGAUAUUCUGGGUCUGUCGCAUGAUGGGUCUGGGAAAGAUAUUGUUUCGGUGGGGGAUGGGCUCGCGGCCUAUCAGCUUGUUGGUGGGGUGAUGGCCUACCAAGGCGGUGACGGGUAGCCGGCCUGAGAGGGUGGACGGUCACACUGGGACUGAGACACGGCCCAGACUCCGACGGGAGGCAGCAGUGGGGAAUAUUGCACAAUGGGCGCAAGCCUGAUGCAGCGACGCCGCGUGAGGGAUGGAGGCCUUCGGGUUGUGAACCUCUUUCGCCGGUGAAGCAGGCCUGCCUCGUUUGUGGGUGGGUUGACGGUAGCUGGAUAAGAAGCGCCGGCUAACUACGUG